UACAGAGGUCCCAAGCGUUGUUCGGAUUCACUGGGCGUAAAGGGUGCGUAGGCGGUCGGGUAAGUCUGGCGUGAAAUCUCCAAGCCUAACUUGGGAAUUGCAGUGGAUACUGGCAGGCUGGAGUACGGUAGAGGAAGGUGGAAUUCCCGGUGUAGCAGUGAAAUGCGUAGAUAUCGGGAGGAACACCAGUGGCGAAGGCGGCCUUCUGGACCAGUACUGACGCUCAUGCACGAAAGCGUGGGGAGCAAACAGG
rnacentral:rRNA from 1 species